CCCCUGCUCACAUGCAUUCUCUCUCAAAUAAAUUAAUUAAUUUAAAAAUUUAAAAACUCAUGAGGAUAGUACCCAAAUGACUGGACUUUGAGAAACAUUCAAAUAGUGAUUGAGUUUUUGAAUUAAACAAACCUGCCACCAGUGAGUUACCUAACUAUGUGGGUAACUUCAUCUGGAAAAUGAAUUAUUGUUUAGGAUAAACGAGUUAACACAUGUGCAGUAGUGCUCAGUAGGCGUGCUUCCCAUCCUCCUCCCCUGGAAAGGUACCUGGUAGUCCAGUGUCACAGAGGCCUGCUGCAAUCGGAGGUAGGAAGCCCGGAUUCCUGACCCAGCUGAGCCACUGACUCACUGACCUGACUCCACCCUCAGGGCCUCAGUUUUCUCAUCCAGAAAAUGACAGGGUGAGAUGUCAUCCUCUCCAGAGCCUCCCAAUCCUACCAACCAUCCUCUGAUUAAAGGAUCCAGCCUCGCCUUGUUUGAUUAUUGCAUCAGAGAAUGACAGAACUGCAGCUGGAAAGGACUCUAAAUAUGUCUUCCUGGCCUGUCCCCCACAAAGCCCAGAGAAGUUCUUAACCUCUUGGCCACCUGCUUGGCCACAUGGGGGAGGGGCAAGGUCUGGAGGUCCAGUGGGAAAAUGAGAAUGCUUCCUCUUCGCUUUGAUAAAUGAUAUAGGCAUUGGGUGGUUUAGACACCACUCAUGCCUUAACAAAUACAUCGCAAUUCCACUGAGAGAUACAAAUCCCACUUCAGCUUGAGAAAAAUCAAUGCAGUUGGUUGGGAACAGGGUGUUACCUGGAUUGAUGGAUUGCUUGGUGUUACUAACUAUAUCUACCUUUGAAAGGUUGCACAUGGUGAGUACCGAGUCCGGCAAGUACUCCCCACAUGCCCCACAUGUGGCAGAAGUGAGAGAGGUGAGGCAUUGUCAAGUUGCACCUGAGAGCACCUAUCACUGGUAAGCUCCAAAGGACCUGAAGUGGGUACACAGAGAUGUUUGUUCUACUCUACAGAUAUACGAACAUCCCCUCCUCCCCACCACCUAUGGGUCUUCUCUUAACCCCCUGCAGUGGACAGCUUUCAUUCUUGCCUGCUUAGCACCUGUUCCCACUUUUCUGGUAGCAGCAUCCUUUUUUGGGGAUUGGGAAGCUUCCCCCACUUUCAGUCCUUGUGAUUGGGUGAAG
rnacentral:lncRNA from 1 species